AAAAUGACAGUGAGCGUGGCAGGGGCCCCCGCCUGGCCCUCAGAGAGCCAGGUGCGAGCACGGCCCCGUUCCGGGUGGCUCAUCUGGGUACUGUGUGCUUAGCACUUCCUGACUCUCAGACUCUGGAGAUUCUUAAAACGGAUGUCUUGUUUUCACAGAGUAGGAAGACGCUCAUCUUUACUGCGUUAAGAUUAUACCUCAAUCGUGAGAUGGACGCGUACCUAGUACGUAGGCACCAGACGUUACAUCCACCUGGAGCCUGCCUGGCCCGAUGCGCCCCGCGACGGACAGUAAGGCGCAAGGUUUACUCCGGUCAGCCAAACCAGGGGACAGCUCUCACCGUUUCACCAGACCAGUCAGCAGACGCGGGCCCAUCUGACCCACUCCAAACAAGCGGACUGAGUACUGACCAGAGGAGUGAAAUCAGAUCUGCAAACCCACGGCAGGACUCAUGAGGUGUAGAAGAGAGACAGUGCCCGAACGAACCCAGCCCCCACCACUGGCAAGCGGACUCCCAGUAUGCACUGCAGAGAGAGAGGCCGGACAGGUCAGCUGCAGGCCUCCCGCUGGCCGGACCGCCACAGCGCUCCAAGA